rnacentral:rRNA from 1 species
AGUCGAACGGCAGCACAGAGAGAGCUUGCUCCUUGGGUGGCGAGUGGCGGACGGGUGAGGAAUACAUCGGAAUCUACUUUUUCGUGGGGGAUAACGUAGGGAAACUUACGCUAAUACCGCAUACGACCUACGGGUGAAAGCAGGGGACCUUCGGGCCUUGCGCGAUUGAAUGAGCCGAUGUCGGAUUAGCUAGUUGGCGGGGUAAAGGCCCACCAAGGCGACGAUCCGUAGCUGGUCUGAGAGGAUGAUCAGCCACACUGGAACUGAGACACGGUCCAGACUCCUACGGGAGGCAGCAGUGGGGAAUAUUGGACAAUGGGCGCAAGCCUGAUCCAGCCAUACCGCGUGGGUGAAGAAGGCCUUCGGGUUGUAAAGCCCUUUUGUUGGGAAAGAAAUCCAGCUGGCUAAUACCCGGUUGGGAUGACGGUACCCAAAGAAUAAGCACCGGCUAACUUCGUGCCAGCAGCCGCGGUAAUACGAAGGGUGCAAGCGUUACUCGGAAUUACUGGGCGUAAAGCGUGCGUAGGUGGUCGUUUAAGUCCGUUGUGAAAGCCCUGGGCUCAACCUGGGAACUGCAGUGGAUACUGGGCGACUAGAGUGUGGUAGAGGGUAGCGGAAUUUCCUGGUGUAGCAGUGAAAUGCGUAGAGAUCAGAGGAACAUCCAUGGCGAAGGCAGCUACCUGGACCAACACUGACACUGAGGCACGAAAGCGGUGGGGAGCAACAGGAUUAGAUACCCUGGUAGUCCACGCCCUAAACGAUGCGAACUGGAUGUUGGGUGCAAUUUGGCACGCAGUAUCGAAGCUACGCGUUAAGUCGCCGCCUUGGGGGAGUACGUCCGCAGACUGAAACUCAAAAGGAAUUUGACGGGGGU